rnacentral:tRNA from 1 species
CGGGGUAUAGCUCAGCUGGUAGCAGCAGCGGACUUUUAAUCCGUAGGUCGCAGGUUCGAAUCCUGCUGCCCCGACCA